rnacentral:rRNA from 1 species
ACUCCUACGGGAGGCAGCAGUAGGGAAUCUUCCGCAAUGGACGAAAGUCUGACGGAGCAACGCCGCGUGAACGAUGAAGGCUUUCGGGUCGUAAAGUUCUGUUGUUAGGGAAGAACAAGUGCUAGUUGAAUAAGCUGGCACCUUGACGGUACCUAACCAGAAAGCCACGGCUAACUACGUGCCAGCAGCCGCGGUAAU